CUGGGGGCCCCACUGCCUGGAGGGGCACCCCAGGGGCACCUCAUGUGACUCCCCAUUGCCCCCUGCCCAGCCCCAUAGCCUCUCAGCCACUUGCCCUCUUCGCCGUCUCUCCUGCUUGUUCUGCUGGCCGCAAUCGAAGCAGCAGGCAAGCUGCCAAGAGCUCCUUUUCUCCCGCCUCUCAGCUGAUCGGCGGGUGGGCGGGGCUUCCACGGAGGCCUCCGUGUAGGCCGCAGUGAAGCCUGAACUCGAGUAGGGCCCAAGCCAGCCAGGAAGGAGGAGGCAGCCAGAGUGUUCUCUGCAGCAGAAGACCUCUUGCUGCCCUGCUUAACCCAGACCAGCAUUUGCCAGGAAAAUGUUUUGAACUGCUGAGAGGACACAAAGCUACCACCAACAACUGAUAGGGCUCUCCAUGCCCUCUCAUUCAGAGGAUGCAGAGUUUUGUGAUUGGUUAAGGAAGAAGCAUAUAUAUAAAUGAUGAGGCUGAUGGAAGUGAUGGACCAUUCUCUGUACCAGAAAACAAAUCAUUGACAGUUCCUGUGCCAGAGACCCCAAGGAUUAGGAGAAGUAUGCAUGAUAGGAGAGCACUUAAAGACUUCAAGACUUCUAAAUGACUCACCAAAUUUUAAAUGAAUUCAAUUAUGUUUCUUAUAGAGGGGAGGUAUGUGUUGUAUUCUAUUUAGCAAUAUUUUAUGUUUUGUUAUUUAGACAUUUGUCCCAGUGCAGAUGCUGUAGACAGUGUGUGUGUGUGUGUGUGUGUGUGUGUGGUGGGUGGGGGCAGGGUGGAGUCAGAAAGGAAAGGCAGGGAAAGGAGAAGGGGAAAGGAGGAGGAGUGUUUUUCCAAAUAAAAUUUAGUUAAGCAUAAGAUUGAUUUGUGUUUAUGAGGGGAGCAGCUAUAAAACAAUUAGGCAUUUAGAUUUCAUUAAACCCUCUUCCCAGUCUUCCCUUCCAUAAUUCAAACACUGGUUGGCAGAUAUA